CUUUAUUGGAGAGUUUGAUCCUGGCUCAGGACGAACGCUGGCGGCGUGCCUAAUACAUGCAAGUCGAGCGGACCAAUGAAGAGCUUGCUCUUCGGCGGUUAGCGGCGGACGGGUGAGUAACACGUAGGCAACCUGCCUGUACGACUGGGAU
rnacentral:rRNA from 1 species